GACGAACGCUGGCGGCGUGCCUAAUACAUGCAAGUUGAGCGCUGAAGAUUGGUACUUGUACCGAUUGGAUGAGCAGCGAACGGGUGGGUAACGCGUGGGGAAUCUGCCUUUGAGCGGGGGACAACAUUUGGAAACGAAUGCUAAUACCGCAUAAUAGCUUUAAACUUAAGUUUUAAGUUUGAAAGAUGCAAUUGCAUCACUCAAAGAUGAUCCCGCGUUGUAAUAGCUAGUUGGUGAGGUAAAGGCUCACCAAGGCGAUGAUACAUAGCCGACCUGAGAGGGUGAUCGGCCACAUUGGGACUGAGACACGGCCCAAACUCCUACGGGAGGCAGCAGUAGGGAAUCUUCGGCAAUGGACGAAAGUCUGACCGAGCAACGCCGCGUGAGUGAAGAAGGUUUUCGGAUCGUAAAACUCUGUUGUUAGAGAAGAACGACGAGGAGAGUGGAAAGCUCCUCGUGUGACGGUAUCUAACCAGAAAGGGACGGCUAACUACGUGCCAGCCGCCGCAGUAA
rnacentral:rRNA from 1 species